GCAAGAUACCACGGGCGCACGGCGGAUGCCUUGGCACAGGGAGCCGAUGAAGGACGCGGCAAGCUGCGAUAAUCCCCGGCGAGGAGCACACAUCCUUCGACCCGGGGGUCUCCGAAUGGGCGAACCCAUGCACAGCAGUGUGCAUAUCCCCCCGCUGAACACAUAGGCGGGGGGAGGACAACCCGGGGAACUGAAACAUCUAAGUACCCGGAGGAGAGGAAAUCAAUCUCGAGACUCCCCGAGUAGCGGCGAGCGAAAGGGGACCGAUGGCCAAACCGUCGAGCGGGCAUACCCGGCAGGGGUUCCGCCGACGGGGUUGCAGGGCCGCGCAUCCGGGGGCUGCCGCCCCCGGGCGCAGGUCCGGCUGGGGAGCGGAACGGCAUGGGAGGGCCGGCCGCAGCGGGUGACAGCCCCGUACGCGAACCCAGACCGGACGGCGCGACGCGGUCCCUGAGUAGGGCCGGGCACGUGAAACCCGGUCCGAACCUGGGUGGACCACCAUCCAAGCCUGAGUACUACCCUGUGACCGAUAGCGCACCAGUACCGUGAGGGAAAGGUGAAAAGCACCCCGGGAGGGGAGUGAAACAGUACCUGAAACCGUGCGCCCACGAGCAGUCGGAGCAACUUUCAGUUGUGACGGCGUGCCUUUUGUAGAAUGAGCCAGCGAGUCGCUGGCGCGGGGCGAGGUUAACCGAAAGGGAGCCGAAGCGAAAGCGAGCCUUAACAGGGCGACUUGAGUCCCGCGCCGCGGACGCGAAGCCGGGUGAGCUAUCCGUGGGCAGGCUGAAGCGGGGGUAAGACCCCGUGGAGGGCCGAACGCACGUCGGUUGAAAACGGCGGCGAUGACCUGCGGAUAGGGGUGAAAGGCCAAUCAAACCCGGAGAUAUCUCGUUCUCCCCGAAAUAGCUUUAGGGCUAGCGUCGCGCGUUCACCGCCGGAGGUAGAGCACCGGAUGGACGAGGGGGCUUCGCCGCCUACCGAAUCCAACCGAACUCCGAAUGCCGGCGGCCCAGAGCGCGGCAGUCAGAGCAUGUGGGCUAAGCUGUGUGCUCGAGAGGGAAACAGCCCGGACCGCCCGCUAAGGUCCCCAAGUUCCAGCCGAGUGGCAAAGGAUGUGCGUCCGCCCAGACAACCAGGAUGUUGGCUUAGAAGCAGCCAUCCAUUCAAAGAGUGCGUAACAGCUCACUGGUCGAGUGGACAUGCGCCGACAAUACACGGGGCUAAGCUGGACACCGAAGCGGCGGGAUUUUGAUUUUCAGAAUCGGUAGGGGAGCUUCCCAUGGGCGGAGAAGCCGGAGGGCGACCGACGGUGGAGCGCAUGGGAGUGAGAAUGCUGGCAUGAGUAGCGAGAGACGAGAGAGUAACUCGUCCGCCGUGAACCCGAGGUUUCCUGGGCAAGGCUAAUCCUCCCAGGGUCAGUCGGGGGCUAAGGCGAGGCCGGUAGGCGUAGCCGACGCGCAGCAGGCAGACAUUCCUGCACCGCGCACGCGGCGCUACGACCGACGGGGCGACGGAUGGGGGUGGCUCGGCGGGGUUCUGGACGUCCCCGUGAUGGAGCGCGGCCCGCGGACCAGGGAAAUCCGGUCCGCAUCGAGGGCGAGGCUCCGGACGAAGCGACUGAGCGAAGCGAGUGAGCCCGAGGUCCCUAGAAAAACCCCUAGGCAGGCGCGUGCGCGCCCGUACCGCAAACCGACACAGGUGGGUGGGUAGAACAUACCGAGGCGAUCGGGUCAACCAUGGUCAAGGAACUCGGCACAAUGGCCCCGUAACUUCGGGAGAAGGGGUGCCCGCGCGUACGUGAACCGGCUUGCCCGGGGAGCGGAGGCGGGCCGCAGUGGAGAGGCCCAAGCGACUGUUUACCAAAAACACAGGACUCUGCAGAAGCCGCAAGGCGACGUAUAGGGUCUGACGCCUGCCCGGUGCCGGAAGGUCACGCGGAGGAGUUAGCCGCAAGGCGAAGCCCCGAAGCCAAGCCCCGGUAAACGGCGGCCGUAACUAUAACGGUCCUAAGGUAGCGAAAUUCCUUGUCGGGU
rnacentral:rRNA from 1 species